rnacentral:rRNA from 1 species
AACGAACGCUGGCGGCAUGCCUAACACAUGCAAGUCGAACGAGACCUUCGGGUCUAGUGGCGCACGGGUGCGUAACGCGUGGGAACCUGCCCUUAGGUUCGGAAUAACUCCCCGAAAGGGGUGCUAAUACCGGAUAAUGUCUUCGGACCAAAGAUUUAUCGCCUUUGGAUGGGCCCGCGUUGGAUUAGCUAGUUGGUAGGGUAAAAGCCUACCAAGGCGACGAUCCAUAGCUGGUCUGAGAGGAUGAUCAGCCACACUGGGACUGAGACACGGCCCAGACUCCUACGGGAGGCAGCAGUGGGGAAUAUUGGACAGUGGGCGAAAGCCUGAUCCAGCAAUGCCGCGUGAGUGAUGAAGGCCUUAGGGUUGUAAAGCUCUUUUACCCGGGAUGAUAAUGACAGUACCGGGAGAAUAAGCGCCGGCUAACUCCGUG